rnacentral:rRNA from 1 species
AAGCGCUUGCAACCAGACUUGAGUGCGACGGUUCCCCCUUCCUUUUGGUUGGGCUAUUCCGUCGUAUCCAGGCCAACAUCGGUUUUGGUGGUCGGUUAAAGGCUCCGGGAAUGUACCUACCCUUCGGGCGUAGACUUAUAGCCCGGGGUGUCAUGCGGCCUACCGAGACCGAGGAACGCGCUUCGGCUCGGAUGUUGGCGUAAUGGUUGUAAGCGA